rnacentral:rRNA from 1 species
UNUGACUUGAGUGCAGAAGGGGAGAGUGGAAUUCCAUGUGUAGCGGUGAAAUGCGUAGAUAUAUGGAGGAACACCAGUGGCGAAAGCGGCUCUCUGGUCUGUCACUGACGCUGAGGCUCGAAAGCGUGGGUAGCGAACAGGAUUAGAUACCCUGGUAGUCCACGCCGUAAACGAUGAGUGCUAGGUGUUAGGCCCUUUCCGGGGCUUAGUGCCGGAGCUAACGCAAUAAGCACUCCGCCUGGGGAGUACGACCGCAAGGUUGAAACUCAAAGGAAUUGACGGGGGCCCGCACAAGCGGUGGAGCAUGUGGUUUAAUUCGAAGCAACGCGAAGAACCUUACCAGGUCUUGACAUCCCGAUGCUAUUCUUAGAGAUAGGAAGUUACUUCGGUACAUCGGAGACAGGUGGUGCAUGGUUGUCGUCAGCUCGUGUCGUGAGAUGUUGGGUUAAGUCCCGCAACGAGCGCAACCCUUAUUGUUAGUUGCCAUCAUUAAGUUGGGCACUCUAGCGAGACUGCCGGUAAUAAACCGGAGGAAGGUGGGGAUGACGUCAAAUCAUCAUGCCCCUUAUGACCUGGGCUACACACGUGCUACAAUGGUCGGUACAACGAGUUGCGAGCCGGUGACGGCAAGCUAAUCUCUGAAAGCCGAUCUCAGUUCGGAUUGGAGGCUGCAACUCGCCUCCAUGAAGUCGGAAUCGCUAGUAACCGCGGAUCAGCACGCCGCGGUGAAUACGUUCCCGGGCCUUGUACACACCGCCCGUCACACCACGAGAGUUUGUAACACCCGAGGUCGGUGAGGUAACCUUUUAGGGGCCAGCCGC